AAGAUCCGGAUGCGGGAAUUCCGCACGUCCGGAUCUGUGGGGGGCGGGGGGUAGUCGACCCCGGCCUACCCGAC
rnacentral:ncRNA from 2 species